ACACUCCUUUGAGCUCAGUGACUCCCUGCAGCCUCCCUGCAACAAAUCAAGAGAGAAGAUCCAUGCACAGAUCAGCGUGCUCUGUCCAGAAGAGGCAGCAGCUCAGGAGCAGUCGGGACAGGUGACAGAGUGUCUGAAGAUCAAACUGGAAGACUGUAAGAUGCUUAUCACACAUUUGAUGUCCAUGUGUGACGACUGCAAGUGUCCAGAGUGAGGACAGACUGAGGGACCCACUGCUGCACAUCAUCUGUGAGGCUUUGCAGCCCUGAUGAUCCACCAGGACAAACUCGGCAGUGUGUGAGGAAGAGGAGGAGGAAGAGCCAGCAGCAGCUGACAGAUGGAGAGAAUAGACAGACUGUUCCCUGUUUGUGAAGGACUGCUAGGAAAGUUUAACAGAACUGUCUGUGCUGAAUCAGUCUUAUUAGGUAAUGUUCACAUAAUGUGAUCAUCCCAGUGUUUCCAGUGUGGGAGAAAGUACUCAGAGUACUCAGGGCCUUCAAGCUACACACUAUGAAAGGCAGCAACAAGUUUAAUGUUCAGAAACCUAAAGUCUGUAUCAGCAGCAGAAUGGAGCUAAAAUAAAUGUUGGUUUCAGUUCUAUGAAGCUUUGAGUAUUUUGGAUCAGUAGCUGCUGUGUUUGUUGCAUCAUAUUGCUGUAACUGUUUAUAUGCUUUAUAUAUUCUGAGCUAAGUUGAUCUAUAGUGUUACAUCAUAUUCUAUAAGGAUGUUAUGUGUUUGUAGACUUUCUGCCCAGUUUGACCCAUUUAGCAGAC
ensembl:lncRNA